GGUCGCACAAAAAGCAAGUUCCCGGGAUUCAGUCUGUAGUCUGAGUGGGCUGGCGUGUUCUCGCUGGGCUAUUUCUGUACAAAAAGCUGUCUGGAACCAUCUGAGAAUCACUAACCGCUGCGGUUUACGCUGCCUGUCCGAGGUCAGUCCCACCUGUUCCGUGGGACAAAGCAUCUCAGCAGCGCCCUAUCCAGUUCCUGAAAAGAUGCCCACCUGUCUGCUAGUCAUACUGGGGAAAACGUCGCAAGGAAGCCCCUCAGUCUCCUGGCUAGAUAGUGAUCACCAAAGGCUUUCCUGCAGUGAGUUCUCUGAUAGCUGAUGCGGCCACUGAUAUGAUCAACCGUGUGAUCAGAGACGCAAUCUGAAGCUAAGUCCCCGCAUCCUUGGACUUCCGAGGUGGUGCUAGUGGUAAAGAACUCAUUGCCAAUACCGGAGGCUUAAGAGACUCGAGUUCGAUCCCUGGGUCAGGAAGAUCCCUGGAGGAGGGCAUCGUAACCCACUCCAGUAUUCUUUUUUUUUUUUUUAAUUUUAUUUUAUUUUUAAACUUUACAAUAUUGUAUUAGUUUUGCCAAAUAUCGAAAUGAAUCCGCUACAGGUAUACCCGCGUUCCCCAUCCUGAACCCUCCUCCCUCCUCCCUCCCCUACCCUCCCUCUGGGUCGUCCCAAUAACCCAGCCCCAAGCAUCCAGUACCGUGCAUCGAACCUGGACUGGCGACUCGUUUCAUAC
rnacentral:lncRNA from 1 species